ensembl:lncRNA
GAACAGUGCCAAGUAAGUAAUUUUGAAGCCUAGUGGUUCUUAUUGAUUUUGGACGUGUUCAAAGGUAAAUCAUGGACACAGUGAAAAUUAGUAAAAAAAACUAGCUAUACACUCAUCUUCCUUUUAAAUACCCCCUACAUAACACAUACAGAAGGACCCUUUUCUGAUUUCAGACUUGCCUUCUACUCAUCAUAAUCUGUAUCUGUAUUGAUCAGUCUAAUGAUUGAUGUAGAGUAAUGGAGCACAUCUGCUUUGUUGUUAGAUUAUGAUUAUGUUGGUUAACUUGCUUACUUUUUUGAUUGCUACUUCGGUAGAUUUUGAAAUGUUUCCCAGUUUUUUUCUGUUGCAUGUGAUGUGAAAAUCCUCCAUGAAUGUUGAGGGGUUCUGUUAUUGUUGAUAAAGGACAGCAACCUUGGCCAGUGGGACCUGCACCACAGCCUAACAUUCCACAUGGAUCAGAGUUGAGAGCAGAUCCCUCACCAAAGACAAGAGCACCCCACUAACCUGCUCUCCUUCCUGGGCUGCGGUCAUUGUCAACUGAAGGGUAGGAACAAGGCUCUGCUGGAGCAGACACAGCAGGCGAGGAGUAGGAGCAGGCUCUGACGCGCAUCUCGCCAGCCUACGGGCAACAGACGUCCACCAUGCCACACCAACACAGUCCAUUAUGAAGGCACAAGUGUAUUAACCAGUGUCUGCCAUAGGGCCAGUUUGAUGUAAUUCUCUUAAAUGUUAUAUAAAUGACGUUUUGCAUUAAAUGUUGCUCUUCAUUCUGAGAGAGACGCUCACUUUUGGAGUGAAUACUUCUGGAGCGUA